CCACCACCUGGCUACACAGGCUUGCAGCAAUAAGAAGAGGUAGGAAAACUGUGGAGAGGUGAAAAUACACAGGUACUUGGAGGUUGUAUCAGAAGAAUGGCAUGGAGAAAUGGGUUACCCCCCCUUCCCCCAUCCAACGUGGCUCAAAUAUACAUUUGGGAGAUCCUGCAAUUCAAAAAAACAAAAACCCACCAUGGAAGGCAGGUCCGGAUCACAGGUCUCCUAGAUUGUAUACAGUUCCUGUAUUUCUAGUUUUAUGAGAAGAUCUUUCCCAAAAUCAUGCAAUAAUCUAUCAAGAAAAUUGCACGCCACCUCUCCGCAUCUGCUCAAGGCAGCUCACGACUUAAAAGCGGCAUGAAGACACAGCAGGGCAAAGCAUGUGAACAUCAGACUGUGGACCCAUCACCCCAAAUAUAUCCUAUGCAAUUGCUUGUCAGCAGCUCUACAAAUGUGCAGGAACAUCAAGCACAACAUGUGUGGAGUCUCACUCUUGCUGUCGGACACAAAAGGCUUCUGGAUUAAAAUAAUAAGACCAUCAA